CGCGCUGCCUCCCGCUUCCCGCAGCGCUCCCUCCCUCCCUCCUUCCUUCCUACCCUCGCCCCUUGCCCUGCCCUGCCUUAUUCUGCCGGGAACCGGCAUGGCUCCGUGCGCAGGCGCCGCGCCGCCGGGGGCAAAUUCCUCUCCGCGCUCCCCUUGCGCGUCCCCUCAGGAGUGUCGGUGACCGGUGCGCUCCCGCCCGAGCGUCUCCAGGCCGUGAAAAGCGCGUUGGACAGUUAAAAAGCCGGAGCACGCUGUUUAAUUAUGCACAUUACUUACGUGACUGUAAAAGCGAUGUUAAAAUGCCACAUUAAGGCUGCGGAAAGUGAAUCACUGAUUUAUGUGGUUGGCGAACCACCCUCCAGAUUUGUUACGGGACUCUUGAGCUCCCUGUCAACUUCCCCAUAUUCUGAACCAGAUAUAAGAUUUCCCAAAGAUGUUGUAACCUACGGCAGCACUAUAACACAAGCUCCUUAAAAUGCCUACUGUUUGACAUAAAUACUUAGAAUAUUUUUAAAUAUUACCUGCAUUAGAAUACUGUGGCCUUUCCCUUCAAGCAGUGUCAUCAUAUAUCAGCAGUCUGCGGAUGAAGAGAGGAAAAGUGAGGAAAAAACUCAUUGGAAGGUGCAGGACCAUCUACUCUAAGGUCAGCUACUGUUUUUCUGCCAUGAAGUGACGGGGAUCUAUCCAGUCUUCUUAAAGACUGGAUCUAAAAGGUACACCACAGCUCAGAAUGAAUUUAGGAUAACUAAGAGAAAAUAUGCUUAAUAAUUGUAAUUUUUAGAUGGUUAAAUAACAAUAACAGUAAUCCCUUGAUGACUAAUUAUAGUACUUGACUGAGAAGGGUAACAAAGAUUUUGAAAGGGGGGGGCCUUUUGAAACCUCUGUCCUGGAUCUUGUCUCUUUUACUGCAAAACUGUUGCAAAUGCUAUUUUGUUGUAAGUGCCAUUUUGUAAAUAGCAAAAUGCAGGUUACACAGAGGGCCUUUUGGGAAUCAGACCCACAUUCCUGCAUCAGUCUUUGUUCUAUUCUUUGUUAUCCCAAAGAUGCAUUAGGACUAUGCUGACAAUCUGCCAGCUGUUGAAAGCUCACAUCAAAUUUUUAUGUAUCUUGACAUAUUUUGUCUAAAAAUAAAUGCAGAGAGUAAUGAUAAUUUGUCUUAUCUGUGACAUUAAUUAGCAGGUAACUUUUGGAUGCUCUCCAUUAAUAAUUCUAUAUUUCCUGAUAGACUUGUUAAAUGAUGACUUGUUUGUUAUCUUAGCUAAUGGCUUAAUAAUAACUGCAGCCUAAGCUAAUUAACUUUGUGAUAAAUUUUGGUAAAUAAUUAAUAUGUAUCUUCAAUACAGCAAUGCAUGCCAAUCUGUAUUCAUGUUCAUAGCAUUCCUCCAAUAACUCCUCUUCUGUUUGGAUAAUCCUUUCAUUUUGUCCUUGACCCAUGUGCAGUAAAUACAUAUUAACUUUUGAGCUCUUGGUCCAUCUAUAUCCUUGUCUUACCUGGUCUCUCUGGUGUGUCUUUUGAAGAUAAUCUACAAAUUAUCUUUUAACUCUUUUACCUCCAAUAGAUAAGUUCCAAUAUUAGUUGCAAUAUUUUGCAAUUAGUUACAUCUGGUGUAAGAGAAGUGAAUAUAUCAGAUUUGCUUAAAAUCUCAGAUGUCAUUCACAGUAAAAAGAAUAUUUUCAUGGAACUUAAUAGUAAUGUACAAUGAUGUAGCAGUUCAUAACGAAAUUACUCUGUUUAAAAAAAUGUGUAGUUGUAUCUUUUCAAAGGAAAAUGUAAAGGAGAAAUGUAUUGUUUAUUGCACGUAAAACAAAAUAGCAACCAAUUCAUAGAAUAAGUCUUUAACUACAUAUUCUUUUGACUGCAUUUAGUCAGGUUGUUGAAAAAAAUCUAUACACAUAUGUUCAGUGGAAACCUUGAUAAAAUGACAAUGAAAAUUCCCAUAUACUUAGUUCGUCUUGGGAAUGUUUCACCUUAGCAUUGCAAGCCUGCUUAAGGUAAACUGUUCUUUGAAAUAUCUGACUCCUGGGGACCAUUUUGGGAUAAAAGGUACUGUGGAUGUCCCAGGUGAUGUUUUUUCCCACUUUUGACACACAGCCCAUGCAGGGAAGUGCCCUGAAACACAAAGAAGCAUUGCAGGCUGUGAUAAAGGUGAGGGCCUAUGCAAAGAAGAAAUUGGAGUCCUGGAGGAGCAGAACUGGCCAGCAUGGUAGGAGUGGGUUUUGCACAUGGGACCCAUAGGAUGGAGAAAUAUCUUGAACAACUGAGAGAGAAGAGUAAUCAGUCAGUUUCUGCAGGUUAGACUUGAGAACUGGGAAGAUAGGAAAGAGCUGUGAGGCUAUGAUUUUUGAAAAUUAUACUGUGAACAUAAGAAGUGCUUAUGUAGGGAGGACUUUUUCUCAAGAAAACUGAUACAGACAACUGACAGAAGAGGGAAAGUAAAGGAGAAGAUAUAUCUAGAUCUGGCCUACCAAAACACUGUUAAUGAUACAAAUAGCUGAGAAGAAAGACUGGGAAUGUCUAGGAAGGAGAUAGGGGUUGAUCU